AACGAACGCUGGCGGCAUGCCUAACACAUGCAAGUCGAACGAGACCUUCGGGUCUAGUGGCGCACGGGUGCGUAACGCGUGGGAACCUGCCCUUAGGUUCGGAAUAACUCCCCGAAAGGGGUGCUAAUACCGGAUAAUGUCUUCGGACCAAAGAUUUAUCGCCAUUGGAUGGGCCCGGGUUGGAUUAGCUAGUUGGUAGGGUAAAAGCCUAGCAAGGCGACGAUGCAUAGCUGGUCUGAGAGGAUGAUCAGCCACACUGGAACUGAGGCACGGCCCAGACUCCUACGGGAGGCAGCAGUGGGGAAUAUUGGACAAUGGGCGAAAGCCUGAUCCAGCAAUGACGCGUGAGUGAUGAAGGCCUUAGGGUUGUAAAGCUCUUUUACCCGGGAUGAUAAUGACAGUACCGGGAGAAUAAGCUCCGGCUAACUCCGUG
rnacentral:rRNA from 1 species